AGUUUGAUCAUGGCUCAGGACGAACGCUGGCGGCGUGCUUAACACAUGCAAGUCGACGGUAAGGCCCUUCGGGGUACACGAGUGGCGAACGGGUGAGUAACACGUGGGUGAUCUGCCCUGCACUUCGGGAUAAGCCUGGGAAACUGGGUCUAAUACCGGAUAGGACCAUGGACUUCACGGUUUGUGGUGGAAAGCUUUUGCGGUGUGGGGUGGGCCCGCGGCCUAUCAGCUUGUUGGUGGGGUAAUGGCCUACCAAGGGCGACGACGGGUAGCCGGCCUGAGAGGGUGUCCGGCCACACUGGGACUGAGAUACGGCCCAGACUCCUACGGGAGGCAGCAGUGGGGAAUAUUGCACAAUGGGCGCAAGCCUGAUGCAGCGACGCCGCGUGAGGGAUGACGGCCUUCGGGUUGUAAACCUCUUUCAAUAGGGACGAAGCGCAAGUGACGGUACCUAUAGAAGAAGCACCGGCCAACUACGUG
rnacentral:rRNA from 1 species